CCCAGCCAAAUGAGUUGUCCAGCAGGCCGGGGGACAGGAAUCGGUGAGGGGCCGAACAGCAUACGCCUACGUGAUACUAGCUGUAUCACGGACCGUAUUUCAAAACAUAGGCCUGCCACACAGCUGGACUGAGGUGACUGAUACGCAAUCCCAAGGCCCAUUCCAACGCACAAGAUUGCGGCGUGCCUGUAGGCCGGCCUCCAAAAGCCCGCACCCCUUCUAAAGCGAGUAUACAAGGAGUAAGAAAGGCGUGAUGGGAAUCCAAAGGGAAACAAACGAGGGUGAUUGAAACUGCAGUUGGACGGCGUUCAGGGUCACACAUACACAUGAUUUUUUAUUUGCUAUUUGAAACUGUAGUUUGAAACCGAAUCUCUUUUGCUAUUUGAAACUGCAGUUUUUUUAAGGGCCACACAUACACAUGAUUGCGACUGACCAAUUUUGUGUGUCCUUUUCAUGCCCAGAGUAUUGCAGGUUGCACUGCUCGCUUGAACCAGCAUUACCUUCGAAACCGAAUCGAGUUAACAGUAGAUCCAAAAUGUUUUUUCUGUCAUUUGGUUUGUCAAAAUGGUGUUUGUUCACACACUGUCGGAUGCUUAGUUAAGUUAAAACAAUAAUGUUGUAUGAGUAUAAGUAAUAAUACUAAUGCGCUUUCACUCAUGCUACGACCCCAGUAACAACUCUCUGAGAUGGUUGUGCUCAAAUUUAUAGUUCCUGGUUAAUGUUUUUUAUCUUUUUACUUUAUGUUGGUUUGUUUCUUUCAGUUUGUAAGUGCCCUUGGAAUCCUGUUCACUGUUGGAAACUGCUGGACCUUGCUGUUGUUGAUUGGUUCAUAAGGUAAACUACGCCCUGCUUUAUUUUUCGUUACUUGUUAUGUGUUGAUAUCUAUUAUUCUUCAUCUAAUAUCCAUUUUUUCCCUUUGUUUGGUGUGUGUUGGUGGUUUUGGGGUUGUUCCUUAAUCAUUACAACCAAGGCAUAUUAGAAUUUCUUUGAAAAUAUCCUAUACUUUGAAGUAGUUGUGCUCAUCACAUAGCUUAGUUUAAUUUGUUGUGAUGAUUUGUGCUUCCUGUGAGAGUAAUACUGAAGCUUAACUUCAUGAGAGAAAGGAAAACGCUUGGGAAUUUAAAAGUUUAGAUGAGCUUUCUGUGGUUAUUCCUGGUGCCAUUGCCGAUGUAAGCUUCGCCGGCUCUUUAUAUUUUUAUGAGCAUGAUGUAUGUGCUUUCUGUGAGAGUAAGGUAGUAAUACAACACAAGAUGAUGUUGCCUGCCGCUGCGUAUCCGCUGUUUGGGAGUGAGGUGGUAAAAACUCCAUAUUUCCGACAUCAGAAGGAAAUCAUAAAAAGAGUAUACAUGCACUUGCUCGACUAACAAAGCUGGUACCUAAGAGCAGGUCUGGUUCAUGCUUUAGGGAGGUUAAAUAAAUUUCAGUCAGACGCAAAGUAAUUUCUAGCAUUGUUGCAUUUGACCAUCAGUAGAUCAUCAUAUAUAACAGGACUAUAGAACAAAGUACAGAAAAUCAUAACUUUUAGAACUGAUUGUAUUUCUGAUUCGGUGGCUUCGCUACCGUUUUAGCUUAAUGACAUCUUCCAGUUCCCAGCUAUGCAAGUCUAAUAUAUUUGCAUAUGUUAGGUAUAACACACGUAUGACCCUAUUUUGAUACGCUAUCCCACUUAUGCAUGUUAGCAAUUUUUUGGAAGUUAGGUCAUUAGAGUUACCAAUCUGUCUUGAUUCUGUAAGAUUCAUGGAUCGAUUUGAGCCGGUGAGCCACUUGCACUUCUUGAAGCUACUAACAAACCAGCAAAGGUACACAUCCCUACAAACCAGAUUGAUCUUAAGACACUGGCUGAGCCCUGUGCGUUGAGAGCGUACCAGUUUUGCUUGAAGGUUUCAGAUGCACUGUCGUCAUAAAAUAUGGUCCCUGGGGAGUCAUGGAGGUUUGUUUCCUGCAAUAGACGUGGCAAAAAAUAUCUGCCACAUGGAGAUGGCUGCUGCUGCACUGCAUGUGGAUACAGAGGAAAGAAGUUCAGGCAAAAUUCCGUUAGGCUUUGCUCUACUCUUAGUUACCAUGAGAUUUCAUCAAUCGCUCUACAUGGUGUCGUGCUUACUCUCGACAUGCAAUGGAUUCAAGCGUGUGUAGGGAGCUUUCCUCAACCACAUAGCGACAAAUGCACGAGCCUUACGGUCUAUGGUGUCACCGGCAUGCAAGUUGCUAAUCUCCAUUGGAUCGCUGCGUGGGGUUGCACAUAGUGGUUGUGGCAAGUGGCAUUGACAGAUACAGGUGAAUUUUGCUGCGAUUUACGUCUGUUCAUCCAAAGGAAGUAGAUGAUUGAUAGAGAUUCAGAGGGAGCAAUUGAUAUAGAUAGUUGUUGUGGUUCCUAUUUCUUCAGAUUAUGUUUCUAUUGCUAUUGUGGCCUGAGGUCCAUCCCCCGUCGCCCCUCCUCUCAAGCCGCUACGGUGGCCUAUAUGUUUUAGUGGGUUCCGUCACGCCGGGCUGCCCCAGGCCCUGACCUAGGGUUUGGUGGGCGAGCUCACUACCAUCCUCCCGGUGGUCUUCUUCCUCGCUUGAUUCUUGGGCGCCCCAUCUAUUCUGGACGAGCACCUUCCAUUGGUGGGUGAGGAGAUCUGGCAUGAACCACGCGCCGAGAGGAUCUCAACUUCUGCUGCCUCUGCACGCCCUAGGCCUAAUCUCACCAAACUUUGCUACACUUCACAUCAUGAGGGAAGGAGGGUAAAUGCGUCCAUCGCAAUAUCAAGCAAAUCAGAUGACAAGGUGUUUGGAGCAAGCUACUCAUAGCCAACUACAUAGUUUAGUACAAUGCUGUAUUGAAGCAGUGUAAAUAAAUAACUUGUAUGGCCUGCUUUUGGUAUAUAGUACGGAACCUUGAUCUUUAGGUAUUUCAUGCUACAAUUGUUAACAAAUGCACCGAUGGUCUGUAACGAGAUUUGAUGUUUUGAAUUGGACCAUUACUGUUGUAAGUAAAUAUUAUCUUAUGCUUUUUGAGUAA